UUCCCCUGGCAAUGGCCAAAGAGACAUCUCCUUGGUGGUGGUGUUCUUCUAUCACUCAGGGGCAAAGCAUAGGGUAGUCCUUUGCUCAUCCUACCGUGACACCCAAUUUAGAGGACAAAGCUGCCUUAUGCCUAGUUCUCAUAA